rnacentral:rRNA from 1 species
UAAGCAUAUCAAUAAGCGGAGGAAAAGAAACUAACAAGGAUUCCCCUAGUAACUGCGAGUGAAGCGGGAAAAGCUCAAAUUUAAAAUCUGGCGGUCUUUGGCCGUCCGAGUUGUAGUCUGGAGAAGUGCUUUCCGUGCUGGACCGUGUACAAGUCUCUUGGAACAGAGCGUCAUAGAGGGUGAGAAUCCCGUCUUUGACACGGACUACCAGUGCUUUGUGAUGCGCUCUCGAAGAGUCGAGUUGUUUGGGAAUGCAGCUCAAAAUGGGUGGUAAAUUCCAUCUAAAGCUAAAUAUUGGCGAGAGACCGAUAGCGAACAAGUACCGUGAGGGAAAGAUGAAAAGCACUUUGGAAAGAGAGUUAAACAGUACGUGAAAUUGCUGAAAGGGAAACACUUGAAGUCAGUCGCGUUGGCCGGAACUCAGCCUUGCUUUUUUGCUUGGUGCACUUUCUGGUCGACGGGCCAGCAUCAAUUUUGAUCGUCGGAUAAAGGCUGGGGGAAUGUGGCAUCUUCGGAUGUGUUAUAGCCCUCGGUCACAUACGAUGGUUGGGAUUGAGGAUCUCAGCACACCUUUACGGUCGGGGUUCGCCCACGCUUGUGCUUAGGAUGCUGGCGUAAUGGCUUUAAAUGACCCGUCUUGAAACACGGACCAAGGAGUCUAACAUGCCUGCGAGUGUUUGGGUGGAAAACCCGAGCGCGCAAUGAAAGUGAAAGUUGAGACCCCUGUCGUGGGGGGCAUCGACGCCCGGACCAGACCUUCUGUGACGGCUCCGCGGUAGAGCAUGUAUGUUGGGACCCGAAAGAUGGUGAACUAUGCCUGAAUAGGGUGAAGCCAGAGGAAACUCUGGUGGAGGCUCGUAGCGAUUCUGACGUGCAAAUCGAUCGUCAAAUUUGGGUAUAGGGGCGAAAGACUAAUCGAACCAUCUAGUAGCUGGUUCCUG